AUUUAACGCUGGCGGCAUGCCUAACACAUGCAAGUCGAACGGCAGCACAGUAAAGACUUCGGUCUUUAUGGGUGGCGAGUGGCGGACGGGUGAGUAACGCGUAGGAAUCUGUCCUGGAGAGUGGGAUAACCCGAGGAAACUCGGGCUAAUACCGCAUGAUAUCGAGAGAUCAAAGGCAGGGGACCCUUCGGGGCCUUGCGCUCUAGGUUGAGCCUGCGGCGUAUUAGCUAGUUGGUAGGGUAAUGGCCUACCAAGGCAACGAUGCGUAGCCGGACUGAGAGGUUGAACGGCCACACUGGGACUGAGACACGGCCCAGACUCCUACGGGAGACAGCAGUUAGGAAUAUCCGGCAAUGGGGGAAACCCUGACCGAGCAAUGCCGCGUGUGAGAUGAAGGUCCUUUGGAUCGUAAAUCACUUUUAUUUGGGAAGAAUUGUAAGUAUAGGAAAUGAUACUUACUUGACGGUACCAUUUGAAUAAGCUUCGGCUAACUACGUGCCAGCCGCCGCCGUAA
rnacentral:rRNA from 1 species